AGCCCCAUCCCAGGCUCCCAGGGAGAGGAUAAGAGGGGCCUGGCAGAGCCCGGACCCAGCUGGUUCUCUCUGGGGAGCAGAGCUCUCGGGGUCCCCUGCACCAUGGCCUGGCCUCUCGUCUGCCUCCUCCUGCUCACCUGCUGCUCAGGUUCCUUCUCCCAGCCUGUGCUGACUCAGUCUCCCUCCAUGUCUGUGUCCCUGGGAGCCACGGCCAGACUCUCCUGCACCCUCAGCAGUCAGCACAAAGGGUACACUAUUCGUUGGUACCAGCAGAUCCCGGGAAAGGCUCCCCGUUUUGUCAUGAGGGUAAAAAGUGAUGGAAGCGUGAGCAAGGGCGAGGGGGUCCCCGACCGCUUCUCGGGCUCCGGCUCUGGGGCCGAUCGCUACUUGUCCAUCAGCAACAUCCAGCCUGAGGACGAGGCCGAUUACUACUGUGGGGCAGCUGAUAGUAAUGGUUUACACAGUGAUACAUUCAGUGAGGAAGUGGAACAAAAACCCCCCUGCCAGCCCAGCCCCCGCCCCACAGCUGGUCCCGACUUCUGGCGCAGCCCCAGCUGCUAAAGGGCCCUGAGGUUGUGCUUCCUGUUUCUCUGUCUCAGGCUCAAAGCCCCGUGUCCAUGACUUGUCCAACACCACACAGAGUAAGUCCCAGAAAUGGAACAUUUAUCUCCCCUAACCAGCACUUUGCCCCUUUUCAAGCUACUUCCCCGGACAAGGACUCCAGGGCAAGGGGUUUUCUGAGCCUUCAGGUUGUGGCAGUGGAGGGGGAUGAUGGGCUCUGCCUCCCUGAGGUUGCCAUGGCUGGGCCCUUGUAGAGUGAAGGCUCUUUGGAGUUCCCAUUGGCUCCUACCAAGGGACACGCCCACAUAAUUCUACAAAGAGAUUUAAUAAAGAAGCUCCAAGAAGAGGCAAAACCUUAUAAAGGGAGCCCAGAGAGGUGGGGAGAGUUCUAGAAAUCGUCAGCAGAUCAGGGGAGCCCCAGCUAUAGAAUCAACAUCUGGGGGAGCCCCAGUUCUAGAAUCAGCGGCUGGGGGAGCCCGGGGUAGCCAGGCAAGUUCCCUUUGGGAAGGGUCCCAGACAGGGCGUCCUCUCCAUGACUCUGAAUCUGACUGGGAGCCAGACUGUAAUGGGCCAGAAUUCUGGAGAAAUGUACUUGAAACCAGGAUUCUUACAGCAAGGUGCUAAGUCAGCGGCACUGAGGAGACAGUGGGUAUCUAGUUCAGCGUGAGACUCUGUGGUUCAGUAUGACUGACUUAAUUUUGCAACAACUAAUGGCUCCCUAGCGAUAGAAUGAUUGGUUUGUACUCAUUGUGCUGUAAUGAUGGAAUGGUAAUAGAGCAUAAACUGGGGACAAAGUCAGCCACAGGAGAUUCCGUCUUGGACCAGCCUCUGGUGGCUCUGCUAGCUCCUGCACUGAAAGCCAGCCCAGCCCCGGAGAAGGAGACCGACUGUGAGGGAGACAAUAAAGACU